CGACAGGCUUAACACAUGCAAGUCGAGGGGCAGCGGGGUAGUGCUUGCACUACUGCCGGCGACCGGCGCACGGGUGAGUAACACGUAUGGAACCUGCCCGCAGCAGGGGGAUAAGCGGAAGAAAUUCCGUCUAAUACCGCGUAACAACGUUGGGAGGCAUCUCCCGAUGUUUAAAGAUUUAUCGGCUGCGGAUGGCCAUGCGGCGCAUUAGCUAGUCGGCGGGGUAACGGCCCACCGAGGCGACGAUGCGUAGGGGUUCUGAGAGGAAGGUCCCCCACACUGGUACUGAGACACGGACCAGACUCCUACGGGAGGCAGCAGUGAGGAAUAUUGGUCAAUGGCCGAGAGGCUGAACCAGCCAAGUCGCGUGAGGGAAGACGGCCCUACGGGUUGUAAACCUCUUUUGUCGGGGGGCAAAGCGAACCACGUGUGGUUCAUCGAGAGUACCCGAAGAAAAAGCAUCGGCUAACUCCGUGCCAGCAGCCGCGGUAAUACGGAGGAUGCGAGCGUUAUCCGGAUUUAUUGGGUUUAAAGGGUGCGCAGGCGGAGGUGCAAGUCAGCGGUCAAAUUGCGGGGCUCAACCCCGUACUGCCGUUGAAACUGCAUCCCUUGAGUGCGCGAGAAGUAUGCGGAAUGCGUGGUGUAGCGGUGAAAUGCAUAGAUAUCACGCAGAACUCCGAUUGCGAAGGCAGCAUACCGGCGCGCAACUGACGCUCAUGCACGAAAGCGUGGGUAUCGAACAGGAUUAGAUACCCUGGUAGUCCACGCAGUAAACGAUGAACACUAACUGUUCGGCCAGAAUGAUGGCUGAGUGGUACAGCGAAAGCGUUAAGUGUUCCACCUGGGGAGUACGCCGGCAACGGUGAAACUCAAAGGAAUUGACGGGGGCCCGCACAAGCGGAGGAACAUGUGGUUUAAUUCGAUGAUACGCGAGGAACCUUACCCGGGCUCAAACGACACAGGAAUACUUUUGAAAGGAGGUAGCCCUACGGGGUCUGUGUCGAGGUGCUGCAUGGUUGUCGUCAGCUCGUGCCGUGAGGUGUCGGCUUAAGUGCCAUAACGAGCGCAACCCCUAUCGCCAGUUACCAUCAAGUAAAGUUGGGGACUCUGGCGAGACUGCCGGCGCAAGCUGAGAGGAAGGCGGGGAUGACGUCAAAUCAGCACGGCCCUUACGUCCGGGGCGACACACGUGUUACAAUGGCAGGUACAGAGAGAAGCCAGGUGGCGACACCGCGCGGAACUCGAAAGCCUGUCUCAGUUCGGAUCGGAGUCUGCAACCCGACUCCGUGAAGCUGGAUUCGCUAGUAAUCGCGCAUCAGCCAUGGCGCGGUGAAUACGUUCCCGGGC
rnacentral:rRNA from 1 species